UACGUAGGGUGCGAGCGUUGUCCGGAAUUAUUGGGCGUAAAGAGCUCGUAGGCGGUUAGUCGCGUCUGCUGUGAAAACUCGGGGCUUAACUCCGGGCCUGCAGUGGGUACGGGCUGACUAGAGUGCGGUAGGGGAGACUGGAAUUCCUGGUGUAGCGGUGAAAUGCGCAGAUAUCAGGAGGAACACCGGUGGCGAAGGCGGGUCUCUGGGCCGUAACUGACGCUGAGGAGCGAAAGCGUGGGGAGCGAACAGG
rnacentral:rRNA from 1 species